CUCGCUUGGCUCGCUGAUGGGCUGGAGUGCGGUCCCGCGUCACGUGUCCCCCUUGUCGCGCACAGGUGUACCUGUGGGACGCGCGACUCCAAUACGGAGGAGCCGUUAGCGGCGGUACCGGCUGCGGCACUGAUUGCUGCCCCCCACAUCGCGCCGCGCUGCCCCACUGGGCCGUAUGCACCGUGCCGCGCCAUGAAGAGGCCUGCUGGGCGGAAAAUGCAGUCCGCAGACUUCCGGGUGCUUGUAUCGUCAAUGUCGUCCCGCCGAGGGUCAUCGAGGCGGAGAGGUGCUGCGGCUGUUCUGGGCUCCAAGGAUUCGCCCGCUCCCGCCUCCCAGCCAAUCACUGCGCUGCUCGCCUCACAGCGAGGGUGGGACAUGGAGGUGGUGGGAAAGCAUCGUCUAAUCCCUGGCCGCCUCUCCCUUAGCUACAGCGCGCAGCUGGGGGGACGCCUUCCCGCCUAGCGACCGGCGGCCAAUCAGCGAUACGCGGCUGUGAAGCUUAGUGGGGCUUAGUUCGGCGCGGGGCCAUCCAGGAGCUGCUGGGUGAAGGACCCAGCUGCUGUUGUGGGCUCCAUCUUGUGGGCCCCAGCUCCUGCCUCAGCGCCAGCAUCACCUGGUGCCGGGGCCAUGGGGCCAGCCCUGCCCGGUGCUGCUGCACCUCUGUGGGGAUGGAGAUGGUGAGGAGGAUGAUGAGGAAGAGCCCAUUGAUCAGUAUGAGGAUGAGAAUAGAUUAACCCUCACCCUGCUGAAACGUCUGCGCAUCAAAGCUUUAUGCCUGUUGUAUUUAACUGCAAUCCAGUUUAAUGGAGCCGGAGUGACUGCACCGGGCUCGGCCCAUGCCGCAGGAUCUAGCUGAGCCCUCUGUGAAGGUGAGACCGACAGCCACCCCCACACUGCCCCGUGGCGACCCAGUGACACCCCAUAGAUACGCCACAGCGAUGCAUAGACACCCCCCUCGCGCCCAGCCCCAUAGUGCCCUAUAGACCCACAACACGUGUUCCCCAGCUUUUAUUGACUCCUGGCGUCAUGACGUCACCAGGAUCGUGAUGACAUCAUCAGCAUCAUCAAUGACACAGUGCCCCGUAGGGGCCCCACUACCCCCCCACAACCCGUAAGAACCCCAACACCAGUUGAUAUUUUUAUUCGCUUUCAUUCUUUCUUUUUUAAACUUUCAUUCACUUUUAUUCGAGCUUUAUUCAGGCUUGUUCACUUUUACUAAUUUUUGAUCACUUUUUCCUC